CAGCAGCCGCGGGAAUGCGAAGGGUGCAAGCGUUACUCGGAAUUACUGGGCGUAAAGCGUGCGUAGGUGGUGGUUUAAGUCCGUUGUGAAAGCCCUGGGCUCAACCUGGGAAUUGCAGUGGAUACUGGGUCACUAGAGUGUGGUAGAGGAUAGUGGAAUUUCCGGUGUAGCAGUGAAAUGCGUAGAGAUCGGAAGGAACAUCUGUGGCGAAGGCGACUAUCUGGGCCAACACUGACACUGAGGCACGAAAGCGUGGGGAGCAAACAGGAUUAGAUACCCGCGUAGUCCCUGUCUCUUAUAC
rnacentral:rRNA from 1 species